UAAAAAGUUUAGUUGCAAAGCUGUCAUUUAUAUUUUUAUAAUUUUUAAAUUUUGUUUCUAAUGUCAGUUGGAAUAAACUGUCAGUCAUGAAAGUUGCAUCAUAAUUUUAUUUUAUUUUAUUGCAAAAAUCUUCCUCCUCACAAAUAUAAAUAUCUAAAUAAGAAACCGUCCGCUACAUAGUCCAUCGAGCCGAGAUACCCAGGAAAUAAGGGAAGUGAUCCAAGUUUGAUAUUCAGGACAAAUUAGUGAUGUGUAACCCAUUACUCUGUUUUUUGUUUAGAUUAUUUAUAUUUAUCAUAUUACAAGCUGGGUUAACUAUGUGGUUUGUUUAAUGUGUUUUUGUUGGCAUUUUUUUGGUAAUAGUCUAUGUCUCUCACACUUGUAAAAUUAUUAUUUAUUUAUUAAUUAUAGGUGCGUACAUAAUAGUGUGACUGUAUAGUUCAUUUUUGUUGUCAUUAUAGUUCAUUAUUUCAAUUGUAACUUCUAUCAAUGCCAGAUUAACUAGCCCGCUUCUGCCCAAAUACUUCCGAAAUGAGUGAGAAAGAAGAAAAGGAGUUAGUUAAAAAACGAGCUAGUCUAAAAGGCCGAUUGACUACAUUCAGAAAGUACAUCGAGGAAUUGAGCGAUAGUCAAAGGAAUACAUUAGUGAGCUGCAGCAAAGAACAAAAUGGCGCACCAAUCAGUCAUCGCUGAAGCUUCACAGCCUGAUUGUGGUGAAGGAAGACAAUCUCCCGCCACUUAAAUGGAGACUGGGCCGCAUAGUAGCUGUCUAUCCAGGGUCCGACGGAGUCAACCGGGUCGCAGACAUUCGUACUUCAAGCGAAGUCAUCAAGAGGUCGUUUAAUAAGAUUUGUCCCCUGAUUGCGGAUUAGUUUUGGGUUGAAAGGAAACCUUUCAACAUCCGGGGGCAUGUUCGGAACCGCAGUAAAAAGUUUAGUUGCAAAGCUGUCAUUUAUAUUUUUAUAAUUUUUAAAUUUUGUUUCUAAUGUCAGUUGGAAUAAACUGUCAGUCAUGAAAGUUGCAUCAUAAUUUUAUUUUAUUUUAUUGCAAAAAUCUUCCUCCUCACAAAUAUAAAUAUCUAAAUAAGAAACCGUCCGCUACAUUAUGUAUAAAGCAGUUAUUGUCGCUUAGUCACGUUUGCCUUUCAAGCGUCGAAUACAGUUUAGUUUAUUCUAUAUUAUUUUAUUUAUAUAAUAUUAUUAGCAAGAUGAAACUUAUUCUACAGAAUUAAUAUUUAGUAGACACUAUUUUUAUGUGAUAAUGUUUAGAAUGUGUUUAAUGUUUAUAUUGUUGUUUAAAAAUACAAAUGACUGUUUAAAUAAUCAAAUAUUAAUAAAGCGUAAAAAUUUAUAAUAAA